rnacentral:rRNA from 1 species
AACCUGGUUGAUCCUGCCAGUAGUGUAUGCUUCUCCUAAAGACUAAGCCAUGCAUGCAUAAGAAUAUGAAGAAGCACUUCUCUCUGAAUCUGCGAACGGCUCCGCAAACCAGUUGUAAACUACCGCAAGCAAAUCUGUCCACGCCUUCACGGGCAAAGAUCGAUUACAUGGAUACCCCUGGUAAUUCUAAGGCUAAUAUAUGUCUAACGCACUCCUGUCAGCCGGGCUUCGGUCUAGCGGGCGGGAAGGAUGUAUUUUUCGGCUUUGGAGGGGGUUGGAACGAGCAUACACUCGAAUCGUCUGCAAUAAUUGGGUGGGUGGCUGACGCUUCUCUUUCGGGAGGGGUUGACGCUGCAAUACGCCCUGGCGAUUCUUGCUACGUGCUUCUGACCUAUCAACUAGACUGCAGCGUAAUGGACAUGCUAUGGUGACAACGGGUACAGAGGAUUAGGGUUCGAUCCUGGAGAGUGGGCCUGAGAGAUUGCUCAUACUUCUAAGGAAGGCAGCAGGCGCGCAACGUUCCCAUUGGGCAUCGCCCGAGGGCGUUAGGGGACAUAUGAAUGCCUGCCUUAACGGCGGGCAAUUCAAAUGGGUCUGUUCUAAACAGGCUCUCGAGUAACAAUUAGAGGACAAGUCUGGUUGCCAGCACCCGCGGUAAUUCCAGCUCUAAUAGCAUACGUUAAAGUUGUUGCGGUUAAAACGCUCGUAGUCGUCAUCAGACCUUCAGAAGUCCCAACUGAUGUAGCCUAGUCAUGCGGCUCAAGGAGAUUCCGUAGGCCAAAGGGGAAGGACUGACGUUGGCCAAGAGCGUGACUAGCUCCUUCGGGUUAAAUGGUCAAGGACGCUGUGCCCCAAAGGGCGCGGUCUUUGCACCAGGCUGGGGAGCCUCUUACCAUGAUCAAACUGAAGUGCUCGAAGCAGGACGUUAAGUUCUUGGACAGCAUAGCAUGGCAUACCACGAUGGCCUGGUCCUCCAAGCGGGACUGGGUUGUCAGAUGCAAAAGGGGUGUUCGAGGGUGACCGAAUUGCCGGGCGAGUGGUGAAAUACGUUGACCCUGGCAAGUCGACCAAAGGCGAAAGCAGUCAUCAAGGGCACGCCCGUUGAUCAAGAGCGAAAGUUAAGGGUUCGAAAACGAUCAGAUACCGUUGUAGUCUUAACUAUAAAUGAUACUGGCCAGAGGUGGGAUAGUGUCCAUCUCGACUCUUCCUGGAUCUUGGAGAAAUUAGAGUAUCUGAGUUCUGGGGGGAGUAUGGUCGCAAGGCUGAAACUUAAAGGAAUUGACGGAAGGGCACACAAAGAGUGGAACCUGCGGCUUAAUUUGACUCAACACGGGAAAACUCACCAGGUCCGGAUACACGUAUGAAAGACAAGCUGAAAGACUUUUCUCAAUGAUGUAAGUGGUGGUGCAUGGCCGUUCUUAGUUCGUGGAGUGAUCUGUCUGGUCUAUUCCGAUAACGAGCGAGACCCCAACGUUCCUAAUAGGGUAGGCAGCCCAGCUUGCUCCUUGGCCUCACGGCUGGAGCUUGCUAGCAGCCUAUAAAAUCAAACUUCUUAGACGGAUCAGAGCCGAUAAGGUUCUUGAAAUGGGUUAAUAACAGGUCAGUCAUGCCCUUAGAUGUUCUGGGCCGCACGCGCGUUACAAUGGCAGGGAAAGCAAGUGCCUAAUUAGGGCAUAUCCGCGGCCUAACGGCUGCUGUAACCCUUAAUCCCUGCCCUGACUGGGACAGUCUAUUGUUACUAUUGGUCUCGAACGAGGAAUUUUUAGUAGUCGCAGGUCAUUACCCUGCGGCGAAUGAGUCCCUGCCCUUUGUACACACCGCCCGUCGCUGCUACCGAUUGGGUUUUGCGGUUACGAGUCCAGAGGUUUUGGCCACUGCCUGCUUCACAGCAGGCGGGAACCGUAGCCGAAGUUCUAAUUACCGCACGACCUAGAGGAAGCAGAAGUCGUAACAA